CUGAAGUCCAAAGCCUUAACCACUACACCACACUGCCAAGCUAGGUCGCUGCUGCCCCACUUAGCUAUUUAUGAAGCUUCACAACAAGUGUUUGAAGAUUUUUUAGAAGAUGAUAAAACUCUUGAUGUAAGUCCCCUUAAAUCCUCCAGCAACAACAAGCCAGACUCUAUAUUUUAUCAAGAUGGCUGAAGCUCUUGCCCAGCUAAGAUGCCUGGAGGAUGAGAAGACCGGGAGAGAGACAAUACCUUCCCCAAGACAUGAGAGGGCAUUUGGAUGAUUCUGGAGCUAUUGACUGCAGCACUUCCACGGCACCAGGAAGUCCCACUGAAAAAGAAUCCAGGAGCACCUGGAGCACAUCCGGGGACAAUAUAAAAGGGGCCACAUCACUUCAUUCUGGGAGCCAGAGUCGAG